rnacentral:rRNA from 1 species
AUAAUACGUUUUCUUGCAUAAGGAGACGUUAAAAGGCGGCGCAAGCNNNCACUUACAGAUGGGCCCGCGGCGCAUUAGCUAGUUGGUGGGGUAAAAGCCUACCAAGGCGACGAUGCGUAGCCGACCUGAGAGGGUGAUCGGCCACACUGGGACUGAGACACGGCCCAGACUCCUACGGGAGGCAGCAGUAGGGAAUCUUCCGCAAUGGACGAAAGUCUGACGGAGCAACGCCGCGUGAGUGAAGAAGGUUUUCGGAUCGUAAAACUCUGUUGUUAGGGAAGAACAAGUGCCGUUCAAAUAGGGCGGCACCUUGACGGUACCUAACCAGAAAGCCCCGGCUAACUACGUGCCAGCAGCCGCGGUAAUACGUAGGGGGCAAGCGUUGUCCGGAAUUAUUGGGCGUAAAGCGCGCGCAGGCGGUCUUUUAAGUCUGAUGUGAAAGCCCACGGCUUAACCGUGGAGGGCCAUUGGAAACUGGAGGACUUGAGUACAGAAGAGGAGAGUGGAAUUCCACGUGUAGCGGUGAAAUGCGUAGAGAUGUGGAGGAACACCAGUGGCGAAGGCGACUCUUUGGUCUGUAACUGACGCUUAGGUGCGAAAGCGUGGGUAGCGAACAGGAUUAGAUACCCUGGUAGUCCACGCCGUAAACGAUGAGUGCUAGGUGUUAAGGGGGUUUCCGCCCCUUAGUGCUGCAGUUAACGCAUUAAGCACUCCGCCUGGGGAGUACGGCCGCAAGGCUGAAACUCAAAAGAAUUGACGGGGACCCGCACAAGCGGUGGAGCAUGUGGUUUAAUUCGAAGCAACGCGAAGAACCUUACCAGGUCUUGACAUCCUCUGACGGCCCUAGAGAUAGGGAGUUCCCUUCGGGGACAGAGUGACAGGUGGUGCAUGGUUGUCGUCAGCUCGUGUCGUGAGAUGUUGGGUUAAGUCCCGCAACGAGCGCAACCCUUGAUCUUAGUUGCCAGCAUUCAGUUGGGCACUCUAAGGUGACUGCCGGUGACAAACCGGAGGAAGGUGGGGAUGACGUCAAAUCAUCAUGCCCCUUAUGACCUGGGCUACACACGUGCUACAAUGGAUGGAACAAAGGGCAGCGAAGCCGUGANNCCAAGCAAAUCNNNNAAAACCAUUCUCAGUUCGGAUUGCAGGCUGCAACUCGCCUGCAUGAAGCCGGAAUCGCUAGUAAUCGCGGAUCAGCAUGCCGCGGUGAANNNNNUCCCNNNUCUUGUACACACCGCCCGUCACACCACGAGAAGUUGGUAACACCCGAAGUCG